GUCAGUAUUGUGCAGUGGGUUUGAGUACUGGACUAUGACUCUGGAGAUCAGGGUUCGAUUCCCUACUCAGCCA